CAGUGCUGCUUCGGCAAAGGAGGAAGUGGCCUCUGCGGGAGACUGACAAAUCUCUCCUCGCUUCAAAGUUCAAGUCCUACUUUUGGCUUUGCUCUGGAGCAGAUUUUCAAACCAAAUGAUGUCCUGCAGACCUUCAAGUGUCCCUCAGACUGACAGACCUGCUGCUGCUGCUGUCCCAGCGAGGCACCACUGGAGCAGAGAGAUCCCCUCUGCUAGAUCAAGAGUCUUCCUGCAGCUCACCUUUCAUUCCACCAUCACCUACUCUGUUACAUAGCACAGGUCAUAGGGUGGACCUGCACGUCUAAGCCAGUCCUACAGAGGAAGCUGGACAAUAGCUGCCCGGCCAGUAACAGCAGUAACAAUGGCUGUCCGCUCCUCACAAAGCCCCGCUCCUCAGUGGGUGGUGUGAACGUCUGAGGCCCUCUCAGGGACUGGAAACCCCUUUCUAGGCUCCCACAAGGACCCUGCAGUCCCUCUAAUCCUUCUGUAUUUUCUUUUCUUUCUGCUCCUUCAUUUUACUCUGUUUCUUAUGCUGUCUGUUCACUUUCUGUCGGGGAGGGAGAGGAGGUGGAGGACAAAGCAACACUGAUUUCACCAUGUUAUAAAAAGUAUUACACUGAAUGAGUCAGAGAUGUUCAUUGCGUGUCGGUGGCUUUCUUCUCCUGCGCAUGUAAUCUUAUUUGUUUUUGCAUUUAGACACAUGUGCAAAUGUUGACAGUGAAUGUAGCGAAACAAAAAGCAAGCAGAACAUUUUAUGCAAUUAGGAAAACAUUUUAACAAGACAGACAUACCAGUUAGAGUUUGGACUAAAAUAUCUGACAGCAUAAUUAAACCCAAGCGAUUAGGACUUCAGAAGCAUCACAUAGUGGUCUAUAUUCUGCAGGUCUAUAAUAAACACCCAAAGAAAAACAUCAACCAAAGCAUUCAGGGCAGAAUAAGGCUGCUAUCCACUGAUUAUUAAGGUUAAAUUGUGAUUCCAUCUCAAAUCAAACAUCCAAGACAUUGAGAUUUGAGAAAUUACAAACCCUUAAGCUGUAACACCAAAAAGUCCCUUUUGUCAGCUGGUCCUGAGACUUUCUGAUUAGAUAACAAUCUCAUACCAUCGCUGCAAAUCAGAGUCAACAACAUCAUGACAUUAAUAAAAGAUGCGUAACUGGAACUUUGCAGGAAUCAACAACAAAAUUCAGAACAAAUUGUCAAAAUAUCUCUUUAUUAUCAGAGAUGCAAAUACACUACUGUUCAAAAGUUUGGGGUCACCCAAGCAAUUUUAUGUUUUCCAUGAAAACUCACACUUUUAUUCAUGUGCUGUAGGGAUUUUACAGUUUUAUUUUUUGUCUCUGCUCCAUACUUCUCACUUUUGUUUAGACCUGAAAAUUUUGAUGAAGUUUUGUUUCUCAUCAGACCAAAUUAUAGUUACAUUCUUCUCUUCUAAAGAUGGAUAAUUCUCAGUAUGCAGAGAUAAUUCCUCUCUGCUGUCUUUAUAUUAAUGCAAUUGAGAAAGCUUCGUCCAAAGCUAGAUAUACGAUAUAUCUAACUUAGAGAUCUUGCACAUUACUCCCUGUUUUCACACUACCAUUCAAAUGUUUAGGGUCACCCAGGAAAUUUCAUGCUUUCCAUGAAAAAUCACACUUUUAUUCAUGUGCCAACAUAAUUGCACAAGGGUUUUCUAAUCAUCAGUUAGUAUUUCAACACUAUUAGCUAACACAAUGUAGCAUUAGAACACAGGAGUGAUGGUUGCUGGAAAUGUUCUUCUGUACCUCAAUGUAGAUAUUCCAUUAAAAAUCAACCGUUUCCAGCUAGAAUAGUCAUUUACCACAUUAACAAUGUCUAGACUGUAGUUCUGAUUAAUUUAAUGUUAUCUUCGUUGAAAAAAAAAGCUUUUCUUCCAAAGAUAAGGACAUUUCUAAGUGACCCCAAACUUUUGAAUGAUAGUUCAAAUGUGUCAAACUCAAUGGUAUAAGAGAAAAACACUUUGAAAUGUUUGAUUUUUUUAUUCAGAACUUUUAGACUGCAAGACGACAGCAAAAAGGAAACGAUUCUAUUAGUGGAGGAACGUAAUGACUGACUGCAUGUCAGAAGUUGAGUGACACAUAAUUAAAACAUCACUGAAUAUGGCAAUUAUCUUGACACAACCUAUUAUAGACGUGGCACAUUCACAAACACAACACAAUUAAUUGUUUGUCUUCUUUUUGUUUCCAUUCUGUUGCUCCUUUUAUCAUCUUAUUCAUAUCUUCAUUCCAGACAAUAAAUAGUAUUUUUUGCUUUUUAAUUUUUUUCUUUAAUACUUUAGCAAUGUCAUUGUUUUUAUGACAGCAUAUUGAGUGAUAUUUUUUGCUUAUACAAACUCUUACACACACACACACACACACACACACACACACACACACACACACACACACACACACACACACACACACACAAUCUCUGCAGACUGGUAAACAAUAUAAAAAAGAAAAAGAGAUUUCCUGAGCUGAACUCAGAGCAGUUAAGAAGUCGAUGACCCCAGUGUGAGGCUGUUACUGCCGAGCUCCCUGACGGAUUUAAGACCCCACACAGAGGCUGUUAUGUGUGUUGUUCACAUUAUAUUCCUCUUAACUCACAGUUAACUUUGUGAAACUACUUUUCUUCACCUCUGAGAACAGUAUUUAUUUAAAACUUGCUGGACUGUAAGUCAUUACGGAUGAGAUUUGGAAAAAAAUCAAGUUUCAGAUUUAACACUGUCUGUGAAACUGGAUUAAAAAUCUAAAUGACUAUUUUACAGAUUAGUGAAGCUCUACUCUGUUCUAGUGUAGGCUGGUUGCCUUGGAGGCCCUAGAUUGUUUUUAUUAGCUAACUAGUGGCAGACAAUGACUGAUUUUAUGGAAAAUAAAGAAUUCCCCAUUAAAAAGCAAUGCAAUGCAGAUCACUUUUCUAUUACUAUUGGAUGCAGCAAUGACUUUUAUGAGUCAGAAGCCAAAGAAAGAUUGAUUUUAGUCUGACUCACUGGAUGUAGGCUGCAGGUAGAAGCCUUUGUUCUCCCACUUCACUAUCUGUGGGUUCAAAAUUCACUUUACUAAAGUGGAACAUUUCAAGCUUUACUGAAGAUUUGGAUUGUACAGUAAAUCAUUCCCUUCUAAUUUUGUCCACUGAUAAUCUUUUUUAAUGACAGUGCUACCAAAACAAUUCCACUCAUCACAAUUGUGAAUGGACACUGAAGCUGCAUCCUUUGCUUAGCUUGAUUUAAAGAAAUGAAGAGUUCAUUUACAAAAACAGGUAUCUCCGUUUUCAGAAAACUCAUUAUUUUAUUGUUCACUUGAGAUAAUAAUAAUAAUAACACUAAUAAUUUAUUUUUCUCUAUUUUGUCAUGUAUGUUUCUACUGAGUCAAAUCUACUUAACUUCAGUUUCAUUGAUAUUAUCUCAAGUAAACAAUAAAAUAAUGUUUUCUGAAAAUUUAUCAAAACAGAGUUAUCUGCUUUUGCAAAUGAACUCUUCAGGUACAACAAAGCUAGACUGGAUAAGAGAGAUUUGUCUAUUUUCAUAUUUUUACUCCGUCAAGGAACGUGGCAGAGGCAUGUGACAAUCCAUGUUGGUUUGUCUGUCUGUUUGUUUGCAGCAUUACUCAAAAAUGAACUGACGGAUUUGGAUGAAACUUUUCAGGAAUGUCAGAAAUGACACAAGGACCACAUAAUUAGAUUUUGGCAGUGACGCGGCUUAUGGUCUGGAUCCACUGAUUUGUUAAGGAUUUCCCAUUGCAAGAUAGCAGCAGGGUGUAACUAUGACAACAAGUGAACACUAGCUGCCUGCUGAUGAUCACAUGAUCGCGAUCAUACUACAAAUCUACUGCUGCAGACUUAUCAGAAAUGAUACAAUUCAUUAAAUUGUUGGUGUCUUUCCGAGGUACAUCAAUUCCCGCCACCCGCUACAUAUUUAGGUCAUAUUUCGGUAUCUGUACAUAACGUACACAUGCAUAACACUUGACUGUUCUCAGCACAAGGUACUUUUGUUU